UACAGAGGGGGCAAGCGUUGUUCGGAAUUACUGGGCGUAAAGGGCGCGUAGGCGGCCUGCUAAGUCGAACGUGAAAUCCCCGGGCUCAACCCGGGAACUGCGUCCGAUACUGGCAGGCUUGAAUUCGGGAGAGGGAUGCGGAAUUCCAGGUGUAGCGGUGAAAUGCGUAGAUAUCUGGAGGAACACCGGUGGCGAAGGCGGCAUCCUGGACCGACACUGACACUGAGGAGCGAAGCCAGGGGAGCAAACGGG
rnacentral:rRNA from 1 species